CUGAGCUCCCGCCCGCCCCGCCGCGGCACAGCUCGUUCCUUUAAGCCCUCGCCGAUUCCGAUGUGAGGUACGGCCUCUGCGAUAAUCACUUCAGUAGCUGGUUAUAAGUAAACACCUUAAAGCCCCCGUUACUGAAAUCGGAGGAUGUGCAAGACUUUCAUCUUCCUUAAAAAUAUCCAAACAAAACCUUUGUGAUCUUCCUCAGUGGAAAAAAACUUAGGAAACUUAAGUAAACAGUGCAGAAAUCAGCAAAUACAUAAAAUGACCCAAACUUGGCUCAAUCACAUCACGAUGAUUGAGUUUAAAUUUAUUAAGUGGGAACCUCUGACUUGAAUUUGGUUGGGACAAUUUGUACUCCAGCAGUUACCUGUUUUACAGACAUAAUAAGCAUGCAGUUUCCUGGGACAGAGAAGUAGGUAAUCAAACUGGCAUUACACCUUUGUGAAAGAGGAUUGGGAUCACUAUCACAUGACACAGUGCAGCUGACCUCUUUCUUGAGGCAAUCUAAGAUGCUCUGAAACUGCCAGUUCUCAGAGGUUCUGGGCACAGUUUUU